UCACAACUGACGCUGAAGCUCGAAGGCGCGGGUAUCGAACAGGAUUAGAUACCCUGGUAGUCCGCGCGGUAAACGAUGGAUGCUCGCUGUUGGGUUAUUUGCUCAGCGGCCAAGCGAAAGCGUUAAGCAUCCCACCUGGGGAGUACGCCGGCAACGGUGAAACUCAAAGGAAUUGACGGGGGCCCGCACAAGCGGAGGAACAUGUGGUUUAAUUCGAUGAUACGCGAGGAACCUUACCCGGGCUUGAACUGCAGGAGAACGCGGCAGAGAUGCCAAGGUCCUUCGGGACUCCUGUGGAGGUGCUGCAUGGUUGUCGUCAGCUCGUGCCGUGAGGUGUCGGCUUAAGUGCCAUAACGAGCGCAACCCCUGUCUUAAGUUGCCAUCGGGUAAUGCCGGGGACUCUUGAGAUACUGCCACCGCAAGGUGUGAGGAAGGUGGGGAUGACGUCAAAUCAGCACGGCCCUUACGUCCGGGGCUACACACGUGUUACAAUGGCGCGUACAGAGUGCCGGCCGUGCGCAAGUACGGUCCAAUCACUAAAACGCGUCUCAGUUCGGACUGGGGUCUGCAACCCGACCCCACGAAGCUGGAUUCGCUAGU
rnacentral:rRNA from 1 species